GACCAGACUCCUACGGGAGGCAGCAGUGGGGAAUAUUGCACAAUGGGGGAAACCCUGAUGCAGCGACGCCGCGUGAGUGAAGAAGUAUUUCGGUAUGUAAAGCUCUAUCAGCAGGGAAGAAAAUGACGGUACCUGACUAAGAAGCCCCGGCUAACUACGUGCCAGCAGCCGCGGUAAUACGUAGGGGGCAAGCGUUAUCCGGAUUUACUGGGUGUAAAGGGAGCGUAGACGGCAUGGCAAGUCAGAUGUGAAAGCCCGGGGCUCAACCCCGGGACUGCAUUUGAAACUGUCAGGCUGGAGUGCAGGAGAGGUAAGUGGAAUUCCCAGUGAAGCGGUGAAAUGCGUAGAUAUUAGGAGGAACACCAGUGGCGAAGGCGGCUUACUGGACGGUGACUGACGCUGAGGCUCGAAAGCGUGGGGAGCAAACAGGAUUAGAUACCCGCGUAUGA
rnacentral:rRNA from 1 species